UACGAAGGGGGCUAGCGUUGCUCCGAAUUACUGGGCGUAAAGGGUUCGUAGGUGGCCUACUAAGUCAUACGUGAAAUCCCUCAGCUUAACUGGGGAACUGCGUCUGAGACUGGAAGGCUUGAGUGCAGGAGAGGAACGCGGAAUUCCAGGUGUAGCGGUGAAAUGCGUAGAUAUCUGGAGGAACACCGGUGGCGAAGGCGGCGUUCUGGACUGCAACUGACACUGAGGAACGAAAGCCAGGGGAGCAAACGGG
rnacentral:rRNA from 1 species